AAUACAAUUUCGCGUACCAGUGAAGAAUACAUCCAUUGUAAUAUUGAGACACAAUGUCGAGAGAGAGUUUGCGCGACGAUUUGCAUCAAGAUAAAACGAGUACGGGACUGUUUUCUGAAAAAUUUAAAGAAAUGCACAGCUGUGAUGUCGUCUGGAAUAAAAGGAGUAUAGUCAGCGUGACCGGAUAAAACUACUGAAAACAGCUCACAACUGCUUGAUGAGAACACGAGCACCAAGGAUUCAGUAAUCGUAUAAAUGGUAUCCUGUCUCAAAGUGAGGCAGCAAACCCUCAGUCAAAAGAGAUUGUUGAGUGGAUGAAGAAACUUGUGACACUCCUCAUGUGAUUACCAAGAUGGCUGAUCAAAGACUUAAGAGCAGGCACCUUGGUCAACUCUUGGUGUAAACCAUAGUGACAGCCAUCUGAACUUCCUUCAAACUUGAGCUGCUGCGGACAUGCAAAACGUUCAUUAACACAGUUGCAAGUGCUGAAGUUUUAUCACUUAACUUCAUGUGAAUGAAAAAGUGAGCCUAUAGCUUUUAAUAACGUUCUAAUAACUGCCUCGCUGACUAAAUGAUGAAUUUUGUCGUGGAGGGUUAACAGGUUUAUUCUUGGUAGAUCACUUGUCAUUAUUUUCAUACGUUGGAAAAAUUCGCUACAGUUGCCAGCUCCCUCACC